rnacentral:sRNA from 1 species
GCAUGGGGGUCAGAGAUCUCUCGAGAAGGGAAAACGAUGAGAAACAGGGACAGAGGGACGGAGACAGAAUAAGGGUUUGAUGGAUUUAUAUAGCUCUCUCUGUACUUGAUAUGAGGUGGGGAGCUCAAGGAUCGAGGGAUAUAUACACGCUUUUACACCCAUACCAUUUUUCUUUUCCUUGAUUUUUAGUUGUAUUUUCUUUUGGAUUUCGGAUACCCCCCCUUUCGCAGAUUCUGGGCUCUAUAUGGAUGGCGUGAGAGUGAGGCGAGAUGUCUGCGAUUUUUGAGCGCGGCUGAUUGCGAAUAUGCUACUCGAAUACACGGAGCACGUUCGAGCGAUUUUUGGACCGGAAGUUAGCGUCCACUUAUUCUCCAGUGGAAGCAUGCCUGUAAGAGGUGGAAUAAGUUUUGGGCUUCCAUCAACGAAUAAGUGUGUUUGUUAUGCCGUCGAAUGAGUAUUUUUCUUUUCUUUUUUCCUUUUUUUUUUUUUUUUUUUUUUUUUUUUUUGAGAUACCAUGCCGAUUUUUAUUUAUCUAUGUUAUAUCUACACUACUUAUCCAUAUUCGCCGAGCUUUACUCUUAGAGCCAUUCCUCGCGGAAAAGAAAGAGUGAACAAGCAAAAAGCUGAUGUGCAAAUAAUUUCUUUCUCCUUCAACCGUCCCUCAUACUCUGCAUCUCUCAAAUAAUAAUAUUAUUAUUAAUACAACGCUUGAAGAAGGCUUGAUCAAGUGGAGAGUUACGUACACGCAUUAAACUGAUUUGCAUCGAUCUCAUGACAAAACAAUGAAAGGUUUGAAAAAAAAAAAAAGCUAGCAGUUCAUUUAAAACUUUAACUAACAAACAAAUAUGAGAACAACCACAUAGUUCAAUCAGAAAAUGCAUUCAUGUCAGGCCGUGGAAAAAAAAAGGAAAAGAUUGGCGCGCGACACCCCCCAUAUAUGUGUACCAUCAUCCCGGUCGUGAUUUGUAACAUUAUUGAAAGCAAAAGGACAAAACCCAAGCGAACAAAAGCAUUAACGAAACAGAGGCAUUUAACACAUCCAGGGAGUUCUAAGAG